UUGAAUAACGGUCGCCACAUCAGGAUGCAGACGGCUCCAUCACUCCUCACCCUCUCCUACUGCCACUAACGUCUCACCCUUCCGUAUCUGCACGCGGCAACCUCUAUUCCAUUUUCCAACACGGCGCUGUCUUCCCGUCUUAUAAUGAACUCAAACUGUGUAACCUUUUAUCCUUUCCAUUCGUUGGUAUGCACUUUUCUUCACUGGGUGUCAGUUGAGAAGCAUAAAUGUUAAAUGUCUCGUUUUCAUUGCAAAGAACAUUGCCCACAUUCUAGAAUGAAAAGUCGUGAAUAAAGAUAAACAGCUUUUUCACGUUUUCUUAAUGGACCAUCAGAGCCAGGCUUCCAGCAACAUUGCAUUCUAGAAUUCUUGGAAACUACUCACUCACUGAAGAAUCUGUUUCUGGAACUUCCCCGUCAACACAAGGUGCUACAAUGACCUAGAAAGGAUAUUAUUCUUCAAAACUGAGAACCUGAGGCACAAAAGAGAGAAAACAUCUGAGCUACAUGAAAAGCACCGAUGUGUAUACAGUUGGUGUAAGAAGAUAAGUGGAAUAGCAACAGAUAUUCUAUGGAUUUGCCAUUGUAAAUGUAGACAAAGCCUCAGAGCCUCCAGAUAAGAAAUCUUCUAGUGUGCUACCUUGUUUUGGCUUUGUGAGAGUUUGACUAUAAAAUCUAGUGGAACUUCUCCGGGCUCUGACUGGCAAAACUCUGAGCUAAUAAGUGGGCAUUAUCUUAAAUUGCUAACUUUGAGCUUCUGUACAAGGCCUUGAAAGAACUUGCCUGACUAAUGGAUGUUUAGAGAAUAUGUUCUGACUAAUUGAGUUUCUGGUGAACUGCACUUACCUGCAUGAAUCAGAAAACAAAAUCGCAUAUCAAGUUAAUUAUCUUGUGAACUGCACUAAACAACAGGAGAUCUGAGGAGAAAGAGCAUCUCCGGACUUAGCCGUAAACUACCUGCAAAGGGGCUGGAAGUGGUGGUUGUUUUUGGCAUCCUGGAAAAGAAAACAGAAUUGAUGAGGCGGAUGAAAGUGACGAAUGGGGAUGAUACGCUGAAGGUCUGCACAAAGAAUGAGAAGAUUUUUGCUCAACUGCCUUUCAAGUUUGAGUAAGAUUUCAUUGAAUGUGUUAUAGAAGAACUAAGGCCAAAGCCCAUGUCAUUGCUAGAGUCCUCAGAUUCUUCUCUUUGUUUCCCCUCACUCCUCUCAUCUGGAAAGCAGUGGCAGAGGGGCAAAGUCCUACAUGAGCCCUUCCAUGACAGAUGAGGCUGCUAACUUCACGUUGUCCAGGGCCUUUACAAACAAACCAGAUACUCUUGGGUCCAUUCCUCGUUAUUUCUGAUUUGUCAGAAGAAUGCUCUAAAAUGGAUCACAACAUUUGGAUGUCCAGCUACACUGUCUGAGAAAGUUCAUCUCUUCUUUUUUCCAUCUCAAAUACUAUAUUGAAUUAAAAAUCAAUGUAAA